rnacentral:tRNA from 1 species
GGUAAAAUAUUUUAUAUUAAGAAAAUUUAGUUUGCAACUAAAAAGAAGUUAGUUUUACUUUUUACCU